GACGAACGCUGGCGGCGUGCUUAACACAUGCAAGUCGAACGAUGAAGCCGGAGCUUGCUCUGGUGAAUUAGUGGCGAACGGGUGAGUAACACGUGAGUAACCUGCCCUUGACUCUGGGAUAACUGCGGGAAACUGUAGCUAAUACCGGAUACGACCCUCGGAGGCAUCUCCUGGGGGUGGAAAGAAUUUCGGUCAAGGAUGGACUCGCGGCCUAUCAGCUAGUUGGUGAGGUAAAGGCUCACCAAGGCGACGACGGGUGGCCGGCCUGAGAGGGUGACCGGCCACACGGGGACUGAGACACGGCCCAGACUCCUACGGGAGGCAGCAGGGGGGAAUAUUGCACAAUGGGCGCAAGCCUGAUGCAGCAACGCCGCGUGAGGGAUGACGGCCUUCGGGUUGUAAACCUCUUUUAGCAGGGAAGAAGCGAAAGUGACGGUACCUGCAGAAAAAGCACCGGCUAACUACGUGCCAGCAGCCGCCGUAA
rnacentral:rRNA from 1 species